rnacentral:lncRNA from 1 species
AAAAUCUGAGAAUAUGCACAAAGUUUUGGAAGUCUGAAGAAGGAGAGAGCUGAAAAUACACAGACAUAGAGAGAAUUAGAAAUCUAAAAAGAAAUCUAAACAAUAAUCAAAUGGCUGCAUUGUUUACUGUUACAUUGAUUACUGCGGCAAAUUUGGUUAUUGUUCAAUCUCUAAUGAAUAUCUUAACUAUUUGGGGGUUUCAAGAUCGCUUAGUUUGGAAUUUGUUUUGGUUCUGAUUUGAGUUUGGUAUUUGGGGUUUGAUUUCAAUUCAGAUAUGGGUUGAUUGAUCCUAAUUUACUGUCCAUUGGUUGCAUUGUUGCUAAUUGCUACUGUUGUUUACUGCUGAUCCUCUCACCUCUCCAUUAUUUUGCCUGCCAGGUAAUUCUCAAACCAUAUGAGUGCUGAAUGGCGGAAUGAUUUGGUGUAUCUAUAGUGAAGCUUUCACUUUCGUUUGUCUUGUUUCAGUUUUUUUUGUAAACAUAAUAAUGAAUGAAAUAUAUCAAGGGUGACGGCCCAUACUGAAAUCAGACUGGUUUUAUCUCAUGACCUGUUCAAUGUUUGAAUUAGUGAUGGAUUUCAGUAUCUUCUUUCAUAAGUAAUACUAUUGAGUUCCUC